CCUCAAACGGCCAGAGAUUGAAUGAACAACCGUCUGAAGGACGUCGACGGGGAUAUCAUUGAGAAACUCCUGAAUCCGUGUCUCCCAGUCCUCCAGUGUGCGAAGUUUUGUCUUGUACACACCCUCUUUUGAGUAAACCCACAGAUCUGGUACAUAUACCUGGAAUCUGUGUACCCGGACUAAGUAAUUCCUUUACUCCUCAGCGAGGUCCUCUUGUGGAUAAUUCUACCUCAGUACGCAUUCUGGUGGUCAGCUAACGUACAUUACACUUUUCGACGCUGCUGCUGUUGCUAAUACAGUUGCUGCUGCUGUUGCCGUUGUUUCUGCUGCUGUUGCUGAAGCUAACCGCCGCUACACAACCAGCAACACCAGCACUAUUAAGAAAUCGGAGAUCAAAUCAUUUCAGUACAUUACUCCAAUUUUUUUCCACUAAAUCUCUGCCCGCCACUCAUACUCUAUCAGAGAUUGUGGUGAAACGCCUAUGUGUUAUACCCAUAGCUUUCAACCUUCAUAUAAUCUCAAAUAUAUUUAACUAGCUUCUGCAUUAUUAAGCCAUUCUCUUGAGCCAUUAUAUCAAGUCUCUAGAAGACUUGUUAUCAUAAUCAAGGAUUUUUUACCGGGGAUUAGCCGUUAACGUUGUCGAGGAAACUUUGAACACGUGACAGAAUUUAGGUGAGUGCCAGUUCUUUGU